rnacentral:SRP_RNA from 1 species
GCUGGGCAUGGUGGCGCGCGCCUGUAGUCCCAGCUCCUUGGGAGGCUGUGGCAGGGGAAUCGCUUGAAACCGGGAGGCCGAGGUUGCUGUGAGCUGAGAUCGCGCCACUGCACUCCAGCCUGGGUGACAGAGUGAGACCCUGUCUCAA